rnacentral:rRNA from 1 species
GAUACUAAGCCAUGUGAGUCAUUGUAGCAAUACAAGGCAGACGGCUCAGUAACACGUAGCCAAUCUACCCUAUGGACGGGGAUAACCUCGGGAAACUGAGGAUAAACCCCGAUAGAUCAUAAUGCCUGGAACGGUUUAUGGUCCAAAUGAUUCGUCGCCGUAGGAUGGGACUGCGGCCUAUCAACUUGUUGGUGAGGUAAUGGCCCACCAAGGCUAUUACAGGUACGGGCUCUGAGAGGAGAAGCCCGGAGAUGGGUACUGAGACACGGACCCAGGCCCUAUGGGGCGCAGCAGGCGAGAAAACUUUGCAAUGUGCGCAAGCACGACAAGGUUAAUCCGAGUGUUUCCUGCUAAAGGAAUCUUUUGCUAGUCCUAAAAACACUAGCGAAUAAGGGUGGGGCAAGUUCUGGUGUCAGCCGCCGCGGUAAAACCAGCACCUCAAGUGGUCAGGAGGAUUAUUGGGCCUAAAGCAUCCGUAGCCUGCUUUGUAAGUUUCCGGUUAAAUCCAUUAGCUUAACUGAUGGGCCGCCGGAAAAACUGCAAAGCUAGGGAGUGGGAGAGGUAGACGGUACUCGGUAGGAAGGGGUAAAAUCCUUUGAUCUAUUGAUGACCACCAGUGGCGAAGGCGGUCUACCAGAACACGUUCGACGGUGAGGGAUGAAAGCUGGGGGAGCAAACCGGAUUAGAUACCCGGGUAGUCCCAGCUGUAAACGAUGCAGACUCGGUGAUGCCCUGGCUUGUGGCCAGUGCAGUGCCGCAGGGAAGCCGUUAAGUUUGCCGCCUGGGAAGUACGUACGCAAGUAUGAAACUUAAAGGAAUUGGCGGGGGAACACCACAAGGGUUGAAGCCUGCGGUUCAAUUGGAGUCAACGCCAGAAAUCUUACCCCGAAGAAACAGCAGAAUGAAGGUCAACUGGAAACUUUACCAGACAACUGAGAAGUGGUGCAUGGCCGUCGCCACUCCGUGCCGUGAGAUUUCCUGUUUAGUCAGGUAACAAACAAAUCCCUGCCUCUAGUUGCCACCAUUACUCUCAGGAGUUAUG